rnacentral:rRNA from 1 species
AUUGAACGCUGGCGGCAUGCUUUACACAUGCAAGUCGAACGGUAACAGGCCGCAAGGUGCUGACGAGUGGCGAACGGGUGAGUAAUGCAUCGGAACGUGCCCAGUCGUGGGGGAUAACGCAGCGAAAGCUGCGCUAAUACCGCAUACGAUCUAUGGAUGAAAGCGGGGGACCGUAAGGCCUCGCGCGAUUGGAGCGGCCGAUGUCAGAUUAGGUAGUUGGUGGGGUAAAGGCUCACCAAGCCAACGAUCUGUAGCUGGUCUGAGAGGACGACCAGCCACACUGGGACUGAGACACGGCCCAGACUCCUACGGGAGGCAGCAGUGGGGAAUUUUGGACAAUGGGCGCAAGCCUGAUCCAGCAAUGCCGCGUGCAGGAGGAAGGCCUUCGGGUUGUAAACUGCUUUUGUACGGAACGAAACGGUCCUGGUUAAUACCCGGGGCUAAUGACGGUACCGUAAGAAUAAGCACCGGCUAACUACGUGCCAGCAGCCGCAGUAACAC